rnacentral:rRNA from 1 species
AAUCAGCGGGAAAAGAAGACCUUGUUGAGCUUGACUCUAAUCUGACCCUGUGAAAAGACUUGAGAUGUGUAGAAUAGGAGGGAGUAGCAAUAGAUCUGUGAAAUACCACUAAUCUUAUCGUUUUUUACUUACCCGAUGAAGCGGAAGCAAACCGCAAGGUUCCCGUUUGGAUUUGAGGUCUCUCUUUUGCAGGCCGAUCCGUGUCAAAGACACUAUCAGGUUGGGAGUUUGGCCGGAGCUCAAUGAGAACAGAAAUCUCAAACAAAAGGGUAAAGGCUCACUUGAUUUUGAUUUUCAGUAUGAAUACAAACUGUGAAAGCAUGGCCUAUCGAGCCUUUAGACUUUAUGAGUUUUUAGCUAGAGGUGUCAGAAAAGUUACCACAGGGAUAACUGGCUUGUGGGAGCCAAGCGUUCAUAGUGACGUUGCUUCUUGAUCCUUCGAUGUCGGCUCUUCCUAUCAUAGCGAAGUAGAACUCGCUAAGUGUUGGAUUGUUCACCCACUAACAUGAGCUCCUUCGUGAGACAGGUUAGUUUUACCCUACUGAUG